UGCCUCACAGCUCUUAUCCCUGGCCAGGGAGAGCUUCAGACAAAGAAGUGUGGGUUCAGAAAGGGGGAACCCUUCUACACUUAUGACACUGACUCAACUGUACAACUGUACAAGGAUCUUGGGUUACUAUCCACAAUGCAUCAACACCAGUUGUGUGAGCAAAGGGAUGACUCAACAAGAAUAGCAGGAGAUGGAUUGCACAUCUCUUGUAUCUGCCAAUUGCCUUAACAAAGGUC
rnacentral:lncRNA from 1 species